AUUGAACGCUGGCGGCAUGCCUUACACAUGCAAGUCGAACGGUAACAGGUCUUCGGAUGCUGACGAGUGGCGAACGGGUGAGUAAUACAUCGGAACGUGCCCGAUCGUGGGGGAUAACGGAGCGAAAGCUUUGCUAAUACCGCAUACGAUCCACGGAUGAAAGCAGGGGACCGCAAGGCCUUGCGCGAACGGAGAGGCCGAUGGCAGAUUAGGUAGUUGGUGGGAUAAAAGCUUACCAAGCCGACGAUCUGUAGCUGGUCUGAGAGGACGACCAGCCACACUGGGACUGAGACACGGCCCAGACUCCUACGGGAGGCAGCAGUGGGGAAUUUUGGACAAUGGGCGCAAGCCUGAUCCAGCAAUGCCGCGUGCAGGAUGAAGGCCUCCGGGUUGUAAACUGCUUUUGUACGGAACGAAAAGGCUCUGGUUAAUACCUGGGGCUCAUGACGGUACCGUAAGAAUAAGCAUCGGCUAACUACGUGCCAGCCGCCGCAGUAAUAC
rnacentral:rRNA from 1 species